rnacentral:lncRNA from 1 species
AGAACAACCUUUUCAGUUUUCACAUACCAUAAGUACUGUAGUACAUUUUUGCGAACCUAAACAAGUUCAAAUGAAGAAAACUUAAACUAAAAAGUUUUUAGAUCUCUUCAAGUAUAAUAAUUGUUGUUUAGGUCAUUUCUGGAUCGAAGAUCAUUUGAAAAAUCCAAACAAAUAUGAAUUUAAAAAUCAUUAAUCUUAAAACCUAAUUUUUGGACCAUAUGUUAUUUCAAAUAAAAAAUAAUCAACUAUAAAGUUAUGAAACCUUAUCGAGUAUACUAAAACUUUCUUCUAGAUCAUUUCUCCAUCA